rnacentral:lncRNA from 1 species
CCGAAGGCACAUUCCUAAGGCCCUAGCACAACGUGGAGCGCAUGAUAGGCAUGCUUGUUCUUUCUCCUCAUUUCCCCCUGUUCUUUCCUCAUUUCCUUGUGCUAAGUAAAAUGACUUUAGAACCUGGGUGGGAAGUAGGGAAGAAGCCGUGAGUCCCGUCCUGACCUCCAGACCUUGCAUGUGGAUUGGUUUUGCUGCUGUAAGGAAAGGGCUCAAGGACAGCAGCUCAGCAUCCUGUGGCUGCACACGCAGAGUGAGAGGGACAUGGUGGCAGGGCCUAUCGAGGGUCUGCGUGGCCAGGAACGAGGAGUGUCAUGACCGAGAAUGAAUACUCUGGAUGUGGUGGCUGGCUCCUUGUGAAGAAGAAUUCAAUCAGAUUCCAUUUGAUUAAUCUGCAUUGAGAUCCUAGUAUGUGUCCGACACUAUGCAGAAAUACUUCACUCCCUCUUCCAUGGCAGACCAUGAUGAACUAGGGUUUGCUGUUUUCACGGCUUCUGUCACUGUUGGAGCUGAGGCUGAGGCUGCAGCAGGAGCUCCUCUGGCCCCGAGGCAAGAGACAUGUUCUCUGCAUCCCCAGGGGACCCAAAGCAACUUCUGGUUUGGGUUAAAGAGGACUUGGGUGACCCCACCCUGCCAGUCAUCCACCCUCUGGCAGCCAGGGCGGCAGCAGGGGAGGGGGCAGAAGGCUGCCACAGUGCUUCUCUCCCCUGCCAUUUCCUCUGCAGCUCCCUCUCUGGCCCUGUUUUUCAGACCUCUAGUAAUAAAAACAAGCCAAUAAAAUGAACAUGAAAAUAUAUUCAUUAGGAUUUAUAAUGCUCAUUAAAACUGCCUGUGUACGAAAGCAUGACUUAGCUUCAUAUAAGUGGGAAAAAAAUGCAAAUUAUACUGCAUGCAAAG